CGAAUGGGGCAAGCGUUGUUCGGAAUAACUGGGCUUAAAGCGCGCGUAGGCGGCUAUGAAAGUCAGAAGUGAAAUCCCCGGGCUUAACCCGGGAAUUGCUUUUGAAACUCCAUAGCUAGAAUCCGGGAGAGGUUAGCAGAAUUCUCAGUGUAGAGGUGAAAUUCGCAGAUAUUGGGAGGAAUACCAGUGGCGAAGGCGGCUAACUGGACCGGCAUUGACGCUGAGGUACGAAAGCGUGGGUAGCAAACAGGAUUAGAUACCCUGGUAGUCCACGCCGUAAACGAUGUGUGCUAGUUAUCGGGUCCUACGGGUUCGGUGACGCAGCGAAAGCGUUAAGCACACCGCCUGGGGAGUACGGCCGCAAGGUUA
rnacentral:rRNA from 1 species